rnacentral:rRNA from 1 species
GCCCUUUUCCGGUUGAUCCUGCCGGAGGCCAUUGCUAUCGGGGUCCGAUUAAGCCAUGCUAGUCGCACGGGUUUAGACCCGUGGCGGAAAGCUCAGUAACACGUGGCCAAACUGCCCUGUGGAUCAGGAUAACCUCGGGAAACUGAGGCUAAUCCUGAAUAAGGCUCACAUCUUGGAGUAGAGUGAGUCUGAAAUGCUACGGCGCCACAGGAUGUGGCUGCGGCCGAUUAGGUAGACGGUGGGGUAACGGCCCACCGUGCCCAUAAUCGGUACGGGUUGUGAGAGCAAGAGCCCGGAGACGGUAUCUGAGACAAGAUACCGGGCCCUACGGGGCGCAGCAGGCGCGAAACCUUUACACUGUGCGAGAGCGCGAUAAGGGGACCCCGAGUGCGAGGGCAUAUAGUCCUCGCUUUUCUGGACUGUAGGGAGGUCCAGGAAUAAGAGCUGGGCAAGACCGGUGCCAGCCGCCGCGGUAAUACCGGCAGCUCAAGUGAUAGCCGAUUUUAUUGGGCCUAAAGCGUCCGUAGCCGGCCAGACAGGUCCGUCGGGAAAUCUGCACGCCCAACGUGCAGACGUCCGGCGGAAACCAGCUGGCUUGGGGCCGGAAGACCCAGGGGGUACGUCCGGGGUAGGAGUGAAAUCCUGUAAUCCCGGACGGACCGCCGGUGGCGAAAGCGCCCUGGGAGGACGGACCCGACGGUGAGGGACGAAAGCUAGGGUCACGAACCGGAUUAGAUACCCGGGUAGUCCUAGCCGUAAACGAUGCCCGCUAGGUUUGGCGCA